rnacentral:rRNA from 1 species
UACGUAGGGGGCAAGCGUUGUCCGGAAUCAUUGGGCGUAAAGCGCGUGUAGGCGGUUCGGUAAGUCGGCUGUGAAAGUCCAGGGCUCAACCCUGGGAUGCCGGUCGAUACUGCCGGACUAGAGUUCGGAAGAGGCGAGUGGAAUUCCCGGUGUAGCGGUGAAAUGCGCAGAUACCGGGAGGAACACCAAUGGCGAAGGCAGCUCGCUGGGACGUUACUGACGCUGAGACGCGAAAGCGUGGGGAGCAAACAGG